rnacentral:rRNA from 1 species
CCUACGGGAGGCAGCAGUGGGGAAUUUUCCGCAAUGGGCGAAAGCCUGACGGAGCAAUACCGCGUGAGGGAUGACGGCCUAUGGGUUGUAAACCUCUUUUCUCAGGGAGGAAUUCAAUGACGUUACCUGAGGAAUAAGCAUCGGCUAACUCCGUGCCAGCAGCCGCGGUAAGACGGAGGAUGCAAGUGUUAUCCGGAAUCACUGGGCGUAAAGCGUCUGUAGGUGGCUUAACAAGUCAACUGUUAAAUCUUGAAGCUCAACUUCGAAAUCGCAGUCGAAACUGUUAGGCUAGAGUAUAGUAGGGGUAAAGGGAAUUUCCAGUGGAGCGGUGAAAUGCGUAGAGAUUGGAAAGAACACCGAUGGCGAAGGCACUUUACUGGGCUAUUACUGACACUCAGAGACGAAAGCUAGGGUAGCAAAUGGGAUUAGAUACCCCAGUAGUCCUAGCCGUAAACAAUGGAUACUAGAUGUUGGGCAGAUCGACCUGUUCAGUAUUAAAGCUAACGCGUUAAGUAUCCCGCCUGGGAAGUAUGCGCGCAAGCGUGAAACUCAAAGGAAUUGACGG